rnacentral:lncRNA from 1 species
CAAAACAGACAUUUAUACCAGUAUUGUCUGUAGUCUAAAAGGGGGUUCAUACAAAACAGACAUUUAUACCAGCAUUGUCUGUAGUCUAAAAGAGGGGGUUCACACAAAACAGACAUUUAUACCAGCAUUGUCUGUAGUCUAAAAGGGGGGUUCAUACAAAACAGACAUUUAUACAAGUAUUGUCUGUAGUCUAAAAGGGGGGUUCAUACAAAAUAGACAUUUAUACAAGUAUUGUCUGUAG